AUGCUGGAGGUAUCAGAAGUGCGAAUGCUGACAUAAGUAACGAUAAAGCGGGUGAAAAGCCCGCUCGCCGGAAGACCAAGGGUUCCUGUCCAACGUUAAUCGGGGCAGGGUGAGUCGACCCCUAAGGCGAGGCCGAAAGGCGUAGUCGAUGGGAAACAGGUUAAUAUUCCUGUACUUGGUGUUACUGCGAAGGGGGGACGGAGAAGGCUAUGUUGGCCGGGCGACGGUUGUCCCGGUUUAAGCGUGUAGGCUGGUUUUCCAGGCAAAUCCGGAAAAUCAAGGCUGAGGCGUGAUGACGAGGCACUACGGUGCUGAAGCAACAAAUGCCCUGCUUCCAGGAAAAGCCUCUAAGCAUCAGGUAACAUCAAAUCGUACCCCAAACCGACACAGGUGGUCAGGUAGAGAAUACCAAGGCGCUUGAGAGAACUCGGGUGAAGGAACUAGGCAAAAUGGUGCCGUAACUUCGGGAGAAGGCACGCUGAUAUGUAGGUGAAGUCCCUCGCGGAUGGAGCUGAAAUCAGUCGAAGAUACCAGCUGGCUGCAACUGUUUAUUAAAAACACAGCACUGUGCAAACACGAAAGUGGACGUAUACGGUGUGACGCCUGCCCGGUGCCGGAAGGUUAAUUGAUGGGGUUAGCGCAAGCGAAGCUCUUGAUCGAAGCCCCGGUAAACGGCGGCCGUAACUAUAACGGUCCUAAGGUAGCGAAAUUCCUUGUCGGGUAAGUUCCGACCUGCACGAAUGGCGUAAUGAUGGCCAGGCUGUCUCCACCCGAGACUCAGUGAAAUUGAACUCGCUGUGAAGAUGCAGUGUACCCGCGGCAAGACGGAAAGACCCCGUGAACCUUUACUAUAGCUUGACACUGAACAUUGAGCCUUGAUGUGUAGGAUAGGUGGGAGGCUUUGAAGUGUGGACGCCAGUCUGCAUGGAGCCGACCUUGAAAUACCACCCUUUAAUGUUUGAUGUUCUAACGUUGACCCGUGAUCCGGGUUGCGGACAGUGUCUGGUGGGUAGUUUGACUGGGGCGGUCUCCUCCUAAAGAGUAACGGAGGAGCACGAAGGUUGGCUAAUCCUGGUCGGACAUCAGGAGGUUAGUGCAAUGGCAUAAGCCAGCUUGACUGCGAGCGUGACGGCGCGAGCAGGUGCGAAAGCAGGUCAUAGUGAUCCGGUGGUUCUGAAUGGAAGGGCCAUCGCUCAACGGAUAAAAGGUACUCCGGGGAUAACAGGCUGAUACCGCCCAAGAGUUCAUAUCGACGGCGGUGUUUGGCACCUCGAUGUCGGCUCAUCACAUCCUGGGGCUGAAGUAGGUCCCAAGGGUAUGGCUGUUCGCCAUUUAAAGUGGUACGCGAGCUGGGUUUAGAACGUCGUGAGACAGUUCGGUCCCUAUCUGCCGUGGGCGCUGGAGAACUGAGGGGGGCUGCUCCUAGUACGAGAGGACCGGAGUGGACGCAUCACUGGUGUUCGGGUUGUCAUGCCAAUGGCACUGCCCGGUAGCUAAAUGCGGAAGAGAUAAGUGCUGAAAGCAUCUAAGCACGAAACUUGCCCCGAGAUGAGUUCUCCCUGACUCCUUGAGAGUCCUGAAGGAACGUUGAAGACGACGACGUUGAUAGGCCGGGUGUGUAAGCGCAGCGAUGCGUUGAGCUAACCGGUACUAAUGAACCGUGAGGCUUAACC
rnacentral:rRNA from 1 species